AACGAACGCUGGCGGCAGGCUUAACACAUGCAAGUCGAACGCACCGCAAGGUGAGUGGCAGACGGGUGAGUAACGCGUGGGAACAUACCCUUCGGUUCGGAAUAACUCAGGGAAACUUGAGCUAAUACCGGAUACGGCCUAUGGGCGAAAGAUUUAUCGCCGAAGGAUUGGCCCGCGUCUGAUUAGCUAGUUGGUGGGGUAAUGGCCUACCAAGGCGACGAUCAGUAGCUGGUCUGAGAGGAUGAUCAGCCACACUGGGACUGAGACACGGCCCAGACUCCUACGGGAGGCAGCAGUGGGGAAUAUUGGACAAUGGGCGCAAGCCUGAUCCAGCCAUGCCGCGUGUGUGAUGAAGGCCUUAGGGUUGUAAAGCACUUUCACUGAC
rnacentral:rRNA from 1 species